GGGCCCUUAGCUCAUCUGGUAGAGCGCGUCCAUGGCAUGGACGAGGUGAGGAGUUCGAGUCUCCUAGGGUCCACCA
rnacentral:tRNA from 1 species